AUCCGUCACCUGACACGGCCCUACCAGGAACAGCCGCGCUCCCGCGGAUUCUGGUGCUGCUCGCGUCCCCGCUCCCCUAUUCCCCUUAUUUUAUUCCUGGCUCCCCUCGUCGAAAGUCUUCCAUUCUUCAAACUAGAUUAUUUAAAAAUGAAAAAGGAAGAAAGGAAAGCGAGGUCAUCUCAUUGCUCUAUCCGCCAAUCAGGAGGCUGAAUGUCAGUUUUGAACUAAAAGCCGCUCCGCUCCUCUUCUAGAUUUGGAAAACAAGCGAAAUUAAACUAAACCGCUGCACGCCUCUGACGCGACAUCUGGACACGGCGCGGCGCUGGCGCUGCCGGAGCUGUCGACCCGGCCUGGCGCCGGACUAGGACUAUUUGCCACGACAUUUCAAAGGAUUCCAAGAGAGAAUAUUGGUGUCCAUGCUGUGAUGAUUCCUCAGCUCCUCUCAUCUGAUCUCCGUCCUGGCCCCCAUGACUUUCUUUGUGGUAGUUAGGGUGUGGUAUGUGCCACUGAGGCCCACACCUAUUGCUGUAAGUGCUGUUUGGGAAACCAUCAUCUUUCAGGUCUGUGUGAUAAAAGAAGAGCCUUGGGGAAAUGUUCUCUUCCAAAUUUAAUCUUUACAUUAUUAGAAAAUAUUUUGAUGACCUGUUUUCAAAUAUUUUCUUAUAACUUUCCAUUUUCAUGUGUUUAUUCUGACAGUUUAUUUUAUCUUGUAUUUAUAAUCACUAAGAUGUUAGUAUUGUAAUAUUAAUAUUACAUGAUUUAAAUUAGGAAAAAUGUGUUUUCUAUUACAAAAUGGAUAGUGGAUAAUUUAAGUAUAGAAAGUAAUAUUUUCUAUAUGGGACUAUUUCACUCUCUGUAAUAUCCUGAAUUCUAAUUCCCACUGUAGUGAGCUAUAACUUUACUAAUCAGUUUUCUUACAAUCGAUUUUAAGUCUAUUUUGUUAGAUCUAAAGACAUAAAGCCAAAAGUUCUUCUUGAAGAGAAGCACAUUUCAGUUACGUUUAUAACUUGAAAUAUCUGGUUUUACUCAAAACUCACAUGUCAUACUGAAAAACAGAAGGGAGAUGUUGUCUUUUCUUGAGGAGAGACUUCUCUGCAGUUAAACAGCUCACCACAUGUUUAGAGUACAUAGACAAUACACUUCCUCUUUUGUAAUGUAGAUUUCAGCUUUUUGCUUGUAGAAUUAUCAUUGGCGUGGAGGUUAUACAGGGGAAGUAGUGAAAAAUGUAGCCAAUACCAGGAACCUUAGGAAGUGUCUGAACUUCAUCUUUUCUGUGUUCCUUUGCCCUUAGGGGGUCAGUGUAAGAGUUUGGGCUAGGAAGAGAUUGCUUCUUUUACUCUAUUUAGUUUGUACUUCCUAUCUGGGUAUUUGACAAUAAAUGACUCAUUCUCUUUGUUUGCCCUGGUGUUGAAAAAUUUUCCCAUAUGCCAGAGAAAAAAUGUUACAGUGACACAAUGUAAAAUUGUAAGAGGUGGAAAAAGAUGAGGUAUGGACAUAGUGAAUGGAAGUUCAGCCCUUUAAAACUACUGGCAGAGUAGAUUUUACUCAGGCUUCAAUUAAGUAGACCUGAAUGUAAAUUCAGGUCUAGCUCUGCAACUUACUAGGUAAGUGACUUUAGUCCUCUUUAAGAUUUAGUUUCCUCAUUACAGGAUAUAAUAAUACUAUUUUUCUUAUGAGGUAAGUAUUAAUUGAAAUAGUAUAUGUACAUUCUAGCAUACAGUGAUCCCCUAAUAAAUGGAACUUAUCAUUAAUACAUUGCUAGGAAAAGAAAAACACAUCAGGGAACAAAAGAUAUAACUGUCUUAUUGAUAACAGGGGAUGGAUUCUUGUGGACAAAAAAAUUUAGAAUUGAAUUUUCAAGGGGUCAUUUCUUUCACCAGGUGUAGUUAGGUUUGCUCUUAUGGUAACAAUGAAUAUGUUUGUUUAGCUUCUUAAACCGGCAUCAUGGAACGUUAAUUAAUAAACAGAAUUCAAUGUAUUUGUGGGGCAUUUUAUUUUUUAUGCAAUCAUUUGUAUAUAUCACCUUCACAAUGCAUGCCACAUUCUCAGACCACCUAUUAUGUUAUUUUCUUAACAUUUUUCUUCAAAUUCACUCACCCUUUUAAAAACUUUACUGAAGUCUCACUUAAGCACAUAAUUUGUAAAAUCAUGGGUUUGUUGUGCAAGUUUUGUUUUUCUAAUACACUCUAAAACAAAUACCUUAAAAGAGUUACACCUACAGUCCAUAUACCACCCAUAAUCAUCUCAAGUACCUCCAGUGCUUGUUACUGCACUUUGGAAAACACUAACAUACAUUAUUCUCAUUAGUUUUUAUAAUAGUUAUAUGAGGUGAAUAGAGAAGGCAUAACUAUACCCAUUUUAAAGAUGAGAAAAGCAGGUUCAUGGAUAAAAUCUCAUAGUAAAUUGCUAGAAUUGGUCCUGAUACUCAUGCUUUCUUUAGAUCAACCCAGUGCUCUUACUGUAAUUGAUACCAAAUUCUUUAAGGAAACUUAGAGCUAAAAGUAAAAUUUUUUGUAUUUAGACCUGAUUAUUUUGUGGUAAUUUGAAUAUAGGUCAAUAUGAAAAAAAAUAAAAGAUGAAACAAAGAAACUGAGAGCAGAUCACCAAGUUGCGGUAGGUUAGCCUAAGAUAGCUUUUGGUUUUCUCAGCCUUCUACUAUUCACAGCUUUGUGUAAUCCCCUCCACUUGAGUAUCUUGCUCAUACCAAUAGAAUAUGGUAGUAGAGUAGAGGUCACCUCUCUGAUAAGUUUACAGAAGAUUGCGACCUCCGUCUUGCCAGAGUACUUCCUCUCUUGCUGGUUUUGAUGAAGCAGGCUGCCACAGAAGAGAGGCUCACAUGGCAGGGACCUGAGGGCAGCCUCUGGCCAACAGCAAGCAGUAAACAGAUGCCCUCAGUUCAAUAUCCCUCAAAGAAAUGAAUCUUACCAACAGCCAGUUGUGUUAGCUGGGAAGCAAAUCUUUCCCUAAGGGAGAUUUCAGAUGAGGCCCCCAGCCUUGGUAGACACCUUGAUUGCAGUCUUGUGAGAGAUUGUGAAGCAGAGCUAUUCUCAGAAUUCAUGGGUGUUUUAAGCUAUGAGGUUUUUUUUGGGGGGAGAAUGGUCAUUUGUGAUUCAGCUAUACAUAAGUCUACAAAAGUCAUUCCAGAAGUGAUUCAGUGGAGGUAGAAUCAUGUGGUUGUGAGCCCCAGGCACUUGGAGUUCUGAUAGAAUUGUGACUUCUAACACUGGACACCUUUUCUUUUUCUCUUAUUCUCCCAUUUUUCUCCUUUCCCCUUUUCCUCCCUUCCUUCCCUUCAUUCCUUCUACUUUUUCCGUACUUUAAAUUAAUAGAGCAGUUGGAAACACAAAAGCAAUGUCUGUAUCUACAAAAUGUCAUUAUUUAUACUUUGUAUCCACAGUGUGCUGCCUAGGGCUUCAUGCCUGAGGUGCAUCUGUAGAAGGUGCUCAACAAAGGCUUGGCUGUUGGUAUUAUUGAAUCACUGUGGAGUUUAUUCAUUGUUGUCCAUGCCAUUUUGAGUUUUCAUUUUUUUAUUUAUGGGAGUGUCUUUAUUCUUUUAAAGAGCUUUGUUUGUACACUCAUUUUCUCUCUCUCUCUUUUCUUCCACAGGCAAUUUAUAGCACUGAUCUGUCAUCAAUACCACUUGCUGUCUUGGAUGUGAAGAUGAUUUUUCCUGCAGGGAUUCCCUCUACAAAAUUAAAAACACUGGGCAUGUGGAAAUAAUAUUCAUGCUUUAAAUUGUCUUUUCUCUUCACUACACCAGGGGUCCCCAACCCCUAGGCCACAGACUGUGGCCCUAGUGUAGUGAAUAGAAAAGACAAUUUAAAGCGUGAAUAUUAUUUCCUCAUGCCCAGUGUUUUUAAUUUUGUACUGGUCUGUGGCUUGUUAGAAACCAGGCUGCACAGCAGAAGGUGGGCAGCAGGUGAGCAAGCAUUACUGCUUGAGUUCCGCCUCCUGUCAGAUCAGCAGUGGCAUUAGAUUCUCAUAGGAGCACAAACCCUAUUGUGAACUGCACACGCAAGGGAUCUAGGUUGUGCGCCCUUUAUGAGAAUCUAACUAAUGGCUGAUGAUCUGACGUGGAACAGUUUCAACCCAGAGCACCCCCCACCCACCUGCAGAAGAAUUGACUUUUACGAAACCAGUCCCUGGUGCCAAAAAGGUUGGGGACCACCGCUGCACUACACUACCUAAAAGAUUUUCACUUUCACAGUGUUGCUUGCUUCUGUUUUACAUGCACAAGUAGCUAAAGCUAGCCUUCUGGUAAAUGGAGGGGCAGAGCAGAUGGUGGGGGAGGAGUACAUACGGACGAAUUUGAAUCACAAUUUCCUCACUAUAUGCCAGCAAAAUUUAAUAAUAGCACCUAAACAUACACAUGCAUAUGUAAAUGAGUCACACUAUAAAAACUUUUAACAAGUACUGGCAAGUCAGAUGGCAGACUUACCCUGAAACCUGCCACUCCAAUAAAAACCUCAUAAUUAAAAACAAGGCUGUCUAUAAAGCAUAACAUAUAAUAACAAUUAUUUGCAACUGGUACAAGGCUAGAUUAGAAAGUUGAAAGUUAUCUUUCUCAGGUAAAAAUGCUUUUCCUAUACAGUAUGCAGCCAGCAGAUUAUCAUCCAUAGUUUGAGUAGUGAGAUGCCACUUGCUCCAACAAUUAACACCUGCUGAUGUUGGUCCAAGAAGAGACUGAGGUGAUGCAGUUUCACCUGUUUUGUAAGAAUAACGCUGGUGUUUGCCAUCUAUUGACAGAGUGCCUACUACGU
rnacentral:lncRNA from 1 species